CCCUUAGAUGUCCUGGGCCGCACGCGUGCUACACUGACGCAUACAGCGAGCACUUUCCAGUUCCGAGAGGCUACUGGUAAUCAUCAAUAUGCGUCGUGAUGGGGAUAGAUCUUUGGAAUUCUGGAUCUUGAACGAGGAAUUCCUAGUAAACGCAGAUCAUCAAUCUGCAUUGAUUACGGCCCUGCCCUUUGUACACACCGCCCGUCGCACCUACCGAUUGGAUGGUCCGGUGAAGCCUCGGGAUUGUGGUUCUUGCCGCUUUAUUGUAGCGUGACCGCGAGAACUUGUCUAAACCUUAUCAUCUAGAGGAAGGUGAAGUCGUAACA
rnacentral:rRNA from 1 species